UUAUACGAAAACACGUCUUUUGCCGGAACAAAUUUAUUCACUUGAAAUAACAUACUUGUCCUUCCAAACCUGCAUAAAUUUUAACUUUGAACAAAUUUAUCUAUUAUAAAGGACAUAUUAAUCCUUCCAGACCUGCUUCCGGACCUGGCCAUCUCCCCGUAAAAACCCUUCACUCCAGAGUCCCAACUUCAAUUCUCAUCUCAGUGUCUCUCAGAUUAUACAAUGAACGACAUGUCUAUCUCUGUUUGGUUGCUCCUCCCCCUCCCGUGCACCGGGUGCGUCACUCACCUUCUUUUUGAUAAGGGCUAAUCUGCGUCUCCUACCUCUCCCACCUGAAGGAAUGGGUUUGGUGGAGUUGUAAAAGUAAUUGCAAAUUUUUAGGUUUUAGGAUAUAGAGCUUACUUGCAAACCCUGGCUUUGGAUCUCUUCAAAGCUGCAAAAGCGUUGAAUUUGCUUCUACUGUCUUCGUUUCCAACAAUGUACAAGUUGCAAUCAUGCUUAAUGCCAAGGCAAGUUUUAUUCAUUUCCUAAAAUAUGUAUAGACAGGUUCUAUUUGUCAAAAAAAAAGAAGGAUAAUCAAACGUUUCGACUUUGCACGACUAGCCUCAUUCUUAGUGUGAGUCUAUAUAUCAUAUCUAUGCUACUAUGUUUAGUGAAUUACCAGUUCUAAGUGUGCAUCUUGGGCCCUCUGACAUUUUGUAAAGGGAGCGAGAGAGAUACCAUAAUGAUGCAUAUUCUAGCUUAUGACUUUAACUUAUAUCAUGCCCCAGAGGUUAGGAGUGGUGCCUUGCGUCAACCAUUAAUUUUAUUACCUGGACAAGAAUUCACAUUUACAAUUAGAAGAGGGGUCGGGACUACUGAUUGUGUCAGUGUUAAUUAUGAUGAUUUUGCUAAUGAUGUUGAUGCCGGAGAUAUGCUUCUCGUUGAUGAUGGUAUGAUGCAUUAGUGGUCAAGUGCAAAGAUGAAGAUUUGGUCAAGUGUGAAGUUGUUGAUGGAAGCGAGCUCAAAUCAAGAAGACAUCUAAAUGUCCGCGGGGAAAGUGCUACAUUGCAAUCCAUUACUUAAAAAGACUGGGAUGAUAUUAAGUUUGGAGUGGACAAUAAAAUUGACUUCUAUGCAGUUUCUUUUGUUAAAGAUGCUGAGGUGGUACAUGAAUUGAAGGCCUACUUAAAAAGUAAAUUUAUUUUAGAUAUUAUGACCUCAAACUGUCAUCAUAGCACUGAUGUAUCCUACUUGAGCUCUAACUAUACUCAUGUUUUUUAAUUUCUUUGAUGGGUUGUGGUGUGGAUAUACAUGUUAUUUCAAAAAUUAAAAGUGCAGAUUCCAUACCAAACUUGCAAUCUAUCAUUGCAGCAUCUGAUGGGGUAUAUCAUAUUUUUAUCUGUUUAAAUUGGCCUUUGAGCUGUUAAUUGGUUAAAUUUGGGCCUUCGCUGGAAAUGUAUGAAUAAUUUACUUAUGUAAUUCAUCACCGGAUUCAAAAAAGAUAUUCAAAAUUAUGUUGGAUCCUUUGUGUUAUAGUUUGCCCUAAAUGUUAAGAUCCCUAACAUUAUGCGCUAAAAGUAGUAUUAUGUUGCUCCUUUCAGGCCAUGGUUGCUAGAGGAGAUCUUGGUGUCGAGCUUCCAGGUGACGAGGUUCCUUCAUUGCAGUCCCUCAUGGAGAGAUUAUUCGGUUGUAUCGUAGUAUGGGAAAAGCUUUUAUAAUGGCAACAAAUAUGUUAGAAAUCAUGAUUGUUCAUCAACACCUAAGCGAGCUGAGGUAUUAGACAUUGCAAUAGCUGUUAAAGAGGGUUCUGAUGCAGUUAUUCUUUCUGGAGAAACCGCCCAUGGGAAAGCACUUUAUCAUGCCCUCCCAAUGGACCACAUUACUGGUUCCAAGCUUCACAACAAGCUCGAAGGAGAAAUCAACUAGACCGCUGUGCCUAAGCUAAUUGAUAAGAUGACAAAAGAAGGCUUCGUUGAAGCUCAAAGCAAUAAAAGACUUGAUUUUCAAAUUAUGUCGAUAGGAGCUGGACGAGCCGCAAAGGAAGCUGAACCACUCAGAACUUCAGACAAUUGAUCUAACUUGCAUGAUAGGCAAGUCUGAUGCCUAUCAAAACGGAUCCGUCAAGAGUGACCAUACUGUUGUAAAGAUGAAAGAGCAUGGAAUCCCCAAAAGCAGAGCUCAGGCAGCAGCUUCUAAAAGAGUUUUGCACAAGUAAUAGAAUUUGGCAGAACCAAUGGAAAUCGUGACAAUUGCAGUUAGUUUGAUGCAAUCAUGUGUAGCAAGUCGUCGUCUCAAAGCAAGCGGUCCAGGAAAGUGCUGUCAAGGAUCCUAUCCUUUAGUACCUAAGAAUGAGAAGUCUCAAGUCGUCUGAAAAGAAUCGGAUCGUAUGGCCUGAUAAUUUCCAGAGUUUCUUUCCACUAAUUCCUAUUUCAUGAGACAUAGACUUGUCUACUGCAUGUAUCACUUGAAUUAGCUUUUUUCCUUUCUUUGUCGAUCAGUAUUUUUACGCAGUAUACAUUCUCUCCCAUUUUAUACGACACCCCGUCUACUGAGCAUUUUUGUGUCUCUUUGUAAAAUUAAGUGAUUCAUAGUUUCAUACCAGGCCCGUGCCUUGCACGAGCACUAGUGCUAGUUAUA